GAAUGGAAUACUCCCAAUAAGUUAAAUCUUGACAGAUGUCUUAACGAAAAAGAUUUCUCUUUCAUCUCCCUGAGAUGACGUGAUUUGAACUGUGAUUGAUGACACGUGUGCAGUCUCUCAUUAAUGUUUGUGACAUAUGGCAAGAUAUUGCCGGGUCUACUGUUGAUAGCAGUUUCCUAGGCAAUGAUGGUUACUUUUGGUGAUUGAUGUAAGCCCGACUCUCUAUAGGUUUUGGCCUUACGUGUUUGCUUAUUUAUGCAAACAAUCGAUACCACAACUUCUACUACCUUUCUUGAUUCAAUUGCGUUCUCACUUUUUCCUUCUUUGUGUUAGUUUCCCUGCGUAGCACUAUGGACAAAAAAGAUAUUCAUCCUGCUACUGCCACCUCCCUAGAGGCUCUAUCUUCUUUAGCGACAUAACUCUCUAGUGAAGCGUCUGAGUCUGCUCAGGGCAAGAGGAAAGAAAACGGUAAAGGAUUAUUCUAGUAAAAGGCCGAAGACCGAGAUAGAGCCUAUUGUUUAAGAGGUUUUGCAAAUACAUGUGAUAUAUGGACAGACGACGGUGUGUGGAAUAGCACUGCAUACCCUGUGGAUGUUUUUCCCUCUCUAGUGUUACCACAUCAUCUUCAUCUGUUAAAGGAAGAGUAUGGCGGGGAGCACGUGGACGUUCGGGUCCCCUUGGACUCUAAGCAGAUUUUAAGUUAUAGAGGGUUAUAUUUUCUUCUAAACUUACCCUUUUACUUUGAAAUCCACCCCCUGAUAGAUUCUAUAAUCCGGGAUCUAUGUUGGCACUUUAAUAUUAGUUUGGCUCAGGUUAGUACGGUCAUUCGUAGGUGUCAAAUUUGGCCAUAGUAAAUAUUUCUCUUCAACAUAUUCUUCAUCUAUAUUCUUCGUAAGUUGUACUGGGGUAGCAUCAUCAUUCUUGCUAAUUGGAGCACCUGAAAGAUUGUGGACACCGAGGGCAAUCAUGAUAGAGGGUGGCAUGAUCCCUUAAUUUCUAUUCCUAUCUGGGCGCUUACCUAAAUGGUGGGUAGAUCAUUCUCUGAGAGUUCGAAUAACAAUCGUAGGCACUCAGUUGAAGAAACCUCUAUCCUGGGCCUUGGUUGAUCUUUUCUCGACCGCUACUCAAGAAAGGAUUCAGGAACUUGCAACAGCUAGGCACAACAAGAAAAACUUUCAAGCCGAUGCUCCGGCAAUGCUCCUACCGGCUUUCCUAGAAGAAGGACUCGGUCUAGCUUUGGGAAGUGGCCCUCUCUUCCUUGGUAGUCUGGUCUCGUAUUCAUAGAUGCUUAGGAGGAGGCGUUCCUGGUAGGGUAUUUUGAGAAGUUGGUGAAGACUGGUUCCCUUGCAGCGGAAGCAUAGGUCAUUCUAUAAAUUCCUCCAUCCGAUCCUACUCUGAAUACAAUCCUAGUAGCCCUAUCUCCUCCCAAGAUAGUGCCUCCCUGAAUACCCAGAAGAAACACAAUAUGUAGGAGGUUCUUGAGGGGGUUGACUUAUAGAGGUUGGGGAAGAGGCCCACCUCGCAUCUUGUGAUCAACAUGCUUAAUUAUACUCUACAAGUAUGUUUUUAUGUUGGAUUCUAUGUUGUAUUUUGCUUUGAUGUUGAUGUUAAAACCUUCCCUUUGUCUGUACGGGACAAUUUGAUGUCUUUCCAGCUUGCGAAAAGGACCCGUCGCUUUGAGAGGGAGAUUGGGGAGCUAAAGGGCCUCAUCAAGGCUGGAUGUAUUGAGGUUUGGAGAGAACAUUCUAUGAAGGUAGCUCGUGAUUCCGGGCCAAGGCAGUGAUGGAGGAGUUGGAGCGGGUGAGGUUUGAGCUAGCCCAGUCUACUAAGAGGAUUUUUCAAAUUGAAGUAGUUCUUAACGAAAGGUUGUCCCUCUUAGAUAGGGUUACCAAGUAGUGAGUCAUUCUAGCGGCCAACCUUUACAAUAUGGAGGAGAGAGAAAGGGCUCUUGAGGCACAUCUUGGAGCUUCAAGAGUUGAUGAGGAGAGGCUCAAGCGUGAAAGAGACAACAUAGCCUCCGAUUCGAGGGAAUUUGAGAUCCAUUAUGAGUAUGUCAUAUUUCUAGAAUCCAAGUUGAAAAUGCUAAGGGCUAUUCAUUAUGGCGAUCUGGACUUGGACGAAGAGAUAAACGAGGCCAAGCAAGCAUAGAGAGCCACCCAACUGAAACUAGAUUAUGACGACAUUGAUAAUUACUCUUUCGGGGAUGAGUCGGAUCGAGACAUGCCAGAGGGCAAUGCAGGUGAAAGGGCUAUUAUUGUGUGCUCUCUCCCCUCAACAUCUCAAGUUUCUCCUCCUUUAGGCACUCCUCAAUUUUCUCCCAUUGCUCCCUCGUACCCUUUUUCUAGUGGCUGUUGAUGAAUCCUUACAGUGACCAGAUUGGUUUAGUAAUCUUUUAUUUUU